UACUACAAAUACUAGUAUUCAACUGCA
rnacentral:sRNA from 1 species